AUUGAACGCUGGCGGCAUGCCUUACACAUGCAAGUCGAACGGUAGCGGGCCUUCGGGUGCCGACGAGUGGCGAACGGGUGAGUAAUGUAUCGGAACGUACCUUUCAGUGGGGGAUAACGUAGCGAAAGUUGCGCUAAUACCGCAUAUUCUGUGAGCAGGAAAGCAGAGGAUCGCAAGACCUUGCGCUGAUUGAGCGGCCGAUAUCAGAUUAGCUAGUUGGUGAGGUAAAGGCUCACCAAGGCGACGAUCUGUAGCGGGUCUGAGAGGAUGAUCCGCCACACUGGAACUGAGACACGGUCCAGACUCCUACGGGAGGCAGCAGUGGGGAAUUUUGGACAAUGGGGGCAACCCUGAUCCAGCCAUGCCGCGUGAGUGAAGAAGGCCUUCGGGUUGUAAAGCUCUUUCGGCCGGGAAGAAAUCGUAUCAGCUAAUACCUGGUGCGGAUGACGGUACCGGCAUAAGAAGCACCGGCUAACUACGUGCCAGCAGCCCGCAGUAA
rnacentral:rRNA from 1 species